rnacentral:rRNA from 1 species
GUCCGUAGCUUGCUGUGUAAGUCCAUUGGGAAAUCGACCAGCUCAACUGGUCGGCGUCCGGUGGAAACUACACAGCUUGGGGCCGAGAGACUCAACGGGUACGUCCGGGGUAGGAGUGAAAUCCCGUAAUCCCGAACGGACCACCGAUGGCGAAAGCACCUCGAGAAGACGGCUCCGACAGUGAGGGACGAAAGCUAGGGUCUCGAACCGGAUUAGAUACCCGGGUAGUCCUAGCCGUAAACGAUGUUCGCUAGGUGUGGCACUCGCUACGAGCGAGUGCUGUGCCGUAGGGAAGCCGAGAAGCGAACCGCCUGGGAAGUACGUCUGCAAGGAUGAAACUUAAAGGAAUUGGCGGGGGAGCACUACAACCGGAGGAGCCUGCGGUUUAAUUGGACUCAACGCCGGACAUCUCACCAGCCCCGACUACGGUAAUGACGGUCAGGUUGAUGACCUCACCACGAGCCGUAGAGAGGAGGUGCAUGGCCGCCGUCAGCUCGUACCGUGAGGCGUCCUGUUAAGUCAGGCAACGAGCGAGACCCGCACUCCUAAUUGCCAGCAGCAGUCUCGACUGGCUGGGUACAUUAGGAGGACUGCCAGUGCCAAACUGGAGGAAGGAACGGGCAACGGUAGGUCAGUAUGCCCCGAAUGGGCUGGGCUACACGCGGGCUACAAUGGCCGGGACAAUGGGUCGCCACCUCGAAAGAGGGCGCUAAUCUCAGAAACCCGGUCGUAGUUCGGACUGAGGGCUGAAACUCGCCCUCACGAA